CUAGCAGAACUAUUGUCAAACAUGCUGUUAUAGAAAGUUUAUUAACACCUUAACGAUCAUAAUCUAUCAUCUGGACAGUGCUGUGGUAUGAAAGGAUGUAUUAUAAUAAUUGGAACAUGACAAGUUGGUCAAGAAGCAUACAGGAAAAACGUAUGUAAAGGCAGUAAAGACGCAAAACUAUAUCAUAUCAUAUCAUAUAUAUUUUUGUGAUAUUAUGUUAUAUGCUCAUAAAGUUUCGACAAAUGAGUUUCAAUCGAUCAUUUCUACACAUUUCAUUCAAGAAUAUUUGUUCAGUCAUGUGACAUUAUUGUUUUAACACAUUCUCAUUACAAGAGAAUAAAUUUGAAUAGAUUGAGAUUUUUAUUUUUUUUAAAUCUUGUAAAAUAUGUAAAGUAAAGCACCACAAAAGAAAACAAUCAUUUACUUGCCAUUACUUAGACCAUUAUAGCAUAAUGUUAAUAGUACAAAUAUUUCAUCCAUCCAUUCAAUUAUUUUCAGUAUCCGGAGCCAAUCAUAGGAACACCGGGGGUUAAGUGAGCCAGUCCAUCGCAUGGCACCCUGCACACACACAUUUUUUCACACACUUGUUCAAACGUAGGGGUAAUCUGCCGGCAUGUUUUUUUUGUUGUCAUUGUUAAUUGGGAGGAAGAACUCUGGAGAACCCAGAGGAAACCCCCACAGGGAAAAGAUAAUAACUAUUUCAGAUUUAUUUAUAUUACACAGGAUGUCCCAAAAGUCUCCAUACACAGGAGGAAUUAACCAUUUUUUAGCAAAAUGUCUUCCAAAAUUUUCAUACUUAGCAUUUAUUUCAUAUAUAUAUAUAUAUAUAUAUAUAUAUAUAUAUAUAAGUGUUGCAGACCGAGAAGUGGACAUUCACCAACAUCCACUCAUAAAGACACAACCGACGUGAUGCUGGUGAACAUAGUCCACUAUGUAAGGAGAUUGUUGGUACACCCUGUAGAUUAACGUAUUUCAUUAUAUAAAGAUGUUGCACUGCCCCUAGUGGCAGGUUUACACAAUUAAAAAGAAUAGCUGAGGAAGUAAAGCAGGCAGAACGAAACAGUAUAGCGGAGAAUUGACGUCAGAGCAAUGGGACUUUG
ensembl:lncRNA